AAAGAGCAUUUCCCAAGAAUGAUUUCACGGCACGAGCUGUUCUGGAAGCACCCUGACACUCAGGAUGGCCGUAAAUCGCUUCAGAUAGGUUAAACAAAUUACCAACCCUUCGGGAGGUGGUCCGCUCACUCCCACCCUCUCUACGUGCCACCGUCCUUCUGCUUAUUUGCUUCGCACCGCGCAAUGAAAAUCAGCUGGAAAGUUUCGUUUUUGCUUUUCGUCGGUUUCACUUUCCAGCUGCUUACAAGCCACGAAAAGUUUCUGUUUGCGUUAAACCCGAGCGAUAGGCGGGGAAGAAGGGAGAGGCACGAAGGCAGCCCAGCGGGCGCUCCGGCAGCACUCGCCGAGGUCAUAGAUAUUUAAACGCCUGCGUAUAAAAUUCCAUUUUCUGCUGGAAGAACAUUUAAAGUCACCUGAAAAUCAUUCUGAGUACUAUAAGGAUUAGGUAACAAGUGCAUGAAUAUAGCUCCACCAAAAUGAGCAAGCUAUAAAUUGGCAGCAGCUUUAUGAGGCGUUUCAAGUAGAGACAAUAGUAAAUCCUUCUGAAUGCUACUGUGGAUACCUCUUUUCAGCCUGAGAGAUUCUAUUGACUGUAGAAACAUUAAAUGAAAAUGGGGAGAGACCAAGUCCACCUGAGUCCACUAGCUACAGAGAGAAAGGUCUCACAACAUCUUUCUUUCUGCCUGCACUUGCUGACUGAAGACAAAACAGCAAGUCUCCAGUCACUCUGCUGCAAAUGGAGUUAUGCUGUCCUUCCAGCAAUUUUUUCUCUGACAGAAACAAUCAUAGUGGUCAGAGCAGAUGGAUUGUACUGGUGUUGCAAAGGGUUCUUUUCCAGAUAAGAAACUGGAAGCAGAGAGAAGAGAGUUACAGAAUGUGAAUGGACAGCGAUGGACACCAAGUUGAACAUGAGCCAGCAGCAUGCCCUGGCUACUAAGAAGAUAUCCUGGGCUGCCUUAGGCAAAGCACUGCCAGCAGGUCGAGGGAGGGAGAUGAUCCUUCCCCUCUAUUCAGCACUGGUGAGGCCACACCUGGGGUGCUGGGUCCAAUUCCAAGGCCCCUAGUGCAAGAGAGGCAUGGACAUACUGGGAAGAGCCCAACAGACAGCUGCUGAGGUGAUGAGGAGUCCGAAGCGCUUCUCCUGUGAGGAGAGGCUGAGAGAGCUGGGGCUGCUCAGAUGGAGAGGAGGAAGCUCAGGGGGACAUCAGUGUCCAUAAAUUCUUGAUGGGGAUGUGCCAAGAAGCCAGGCUCUGUCAGUGGUGCCUGGUGCCAGGACCAGAGACCAUGGGCACAAAUUGGAGCACAGGAGAUUCCCUCUGGACACCAGGAGCACUUCCUUGCUGCACAGGUGAUGGAGCACUGGCAUGCUCCUGUUCUUGUUGGCACAGGGGCUGGGGGAGAUCCAGAGAUCAAACACUUCCCUACCUCAACCGUUAUGUGACUCUGAUUCUGUGAAGUAUGGACAUUUGGACAAUAACUUUGUCUUCCUAUAGAAUUAAUGGAGGAGAACAGGCCCCAGUACUAGUUUCUUACUCUGAAUUGUACUCAUGAAUGUCUUUCUCCUUUCCAUUGACUGCUGAGAUAUCCUUAGAAGGCUGGUUGUGUAAUUUAGGCACCUAGGUCAGAUCCUGAAAAUUGCCAAGACAGGAAUGGUGCCACAAUAAUGGAUUUGUUCUUUUGAAUUUGCCUGUGAGACCUGCUGGCCAGUAAAUACUGACAGAUGUGUUGAUAAGGAAUCAUCAAGCUUAGAGUGGGAAAUCUGAGCUGACAUCUUAGUGCCACCAAAUCAUCUGAUACUGAAUUCACUGGAAUUGGUAUUUCAGCCCAGUGGGCGAAGUGCAGCAAGAUACACAUUCAUUUUGUCUCAUCCCAUCCUGUCCCAUCCUUUCUUGUCUUGUCUCAUCCCAUUCUGUCUCAUUCCAUCCUAUUCCAUUCCAUCCCAUCCUGUUCCAUCCCAUCCCAUUUCAUUCUGCCCCAU